UACGUAGGAUGCAAGCGUUGUUCGGAAUUACUGGGCGUAAAGAGUACGUAGGCGGUGGACAUAAGUCUGAAAUUAAAGACAGAAGCUCAACUUCUGGAAUGUAUCGGAAACUGUGUUACUAGAGGAUAGUAGAGGAAGUCGGAAUUCUCAGUGUAGCGGUGAAAUGCGUAGAUAUUGGGAAGAACACCAGUGGCGAAAGCGGACUUCUGGGCUAUUACUGACGCUGAGGUACGAAAGUGUGGGGAGCAAACGGGG
rnacentral:rRNA from 1 species